UAUUGGCUUAGUUAGGAGGCAUAUAUUAGUUCAGUGUAUGCGGUGAGGCCUUUUGAGGGGACUCUUUGUCUCUUCCUCAUCAAUUGUCCUCCAAGCAGCCUCACACAUUC